rnacentral:lncRNA from 1 species
AAAAAUUUGAGCCAAUACCAUUUAAAAAAAAUGCUAUGUCAUUAAAUAAAACGAAAUUACAUGAACAUAGUAAAAAAAUAACAUUUACAUAAAAGGAAAAAAUACCAAAAAUAUAAAAUUACAAACAUUUCCGGACAGUACACAUGUACAGGAGCAAAACGAGAGAAAUGUCCCAAAGAUUCUUCGGCAGAGAACACUCUAUGCUACUUCCCAAGCUUGCACCCCACCACCCCUCUCACGCUGCCCAUCGCUCGACGGACAACAACCGGGGGUCAUUCAGAUGCCUUUCUGGAGGUAGAUCUAGUCGCCCCCUCCGACGUCAUCGAAGGGUGCCGGCAUCUUCACCACCAUAUCGCCUGGAUCCAUGCUCAUGAGCAGUCAAUCUACACAUGGAACCGUCGUUUCUUGUGCGUGAACAAGAUAUACUGCAUCGAAAAAUCAGAAGAAAGUGUAGAAGACAGCCCGUGAAAAAAGUGUAAAAGACAGGGAAGAGGAGCUGGUGGGGCAGGGGACUCACUGCCCGUGGUAUAGGCGACGAACGCGAACCCCUCGGCCCGACGGCAUGGGCUCGGUGCUGGCUCAGUGUCGCCUCCGCGGCAUGAGUCGCUUGCGCUCUACAACGACCCAAGCACCACCCGCAUCGACGGCACCGCUGCCCCAGGUCCUAGGUCGGCCUUCAGAGGCGUUGCUCCCACCAGGGACGAGGGCGUUGUCGCGGCGUCAGAUGGCUCCAUCCUUGAGGACGACCGGUUGCCGCCACUGGGGACGACGCCGUUGUCGCGCCGUCGGGAUGGUUGCAGGAUGCGGAGGAAAGGAUGGUUGUUGCUGGGGAGAUGGUGGCCGGCUCCAUCUGUUUUUUUGGUGCGGCCUCCUAGCAAGACCUGCCCGUGAAUCGGGGGAAAUGGAAGGGAAACGGCGGAGGCAAUGGGAGUCAGGGAUUGAGGAAGAAGAAGAACGAAUUGGGGGAAGUUUGGUUUCGGCGGAGGUCUGUGCUUUUG